rnacentral:tRNA from 1 species
GCAUCGAUAGCUCAGCGGAUAGAGCGUUCCCCUGCUAAGGGAAAGGUCGUCGGUUCAAUUCCGGCUCGGCC